CGAAGAACGGUGGCGCUACUACGCAAGGAGGCAGCCGGCCACGGUAGGGUCAGCGACUGGGGUG
rnacentral:rRNA from 1 species